AUUUGGUAACUCAGCCCUAAUCCUGAAAGCUUCUAGCUUCUGUACAAUCUAAUCUAGGUCUAGAAUGUUUUCAGCCUCUGAGAGUUAUUGCUGAA
rnacentral:miRNA from 14 species